AUCUACAGCCAUACCAACCUGGUCUUACACUAUAUGACACCUCAUAAACUAAGCAGGAUUGGGUUUGCUCAGUACUUGAAUGGGAACACUUUGAGGACAACUCACAUGAUU
rnacentral:rRNA from 1 species